AACGAACGCUGGCGGCAGGCUUAACACAUGCAAGUCGAACGAGAUCUUCGGAUCUAGUGGCAGACGGGUGAGGAACACGUGGGAACAUCCCUUUCAGUUCGGAAUAACGUGGGGAAACUAACGCUAAUACCGGAUACGUCCUUCGGGAGAAAGAUUUAGCGCUGAAAGAUUGGCCCGCGUCUGAUUAGCUAGUUGGUGAGGUAAUGGCUCACCAAGGCUACGAUCAGUAGCUGAUCUGAGAGGAUGAUCAGCCAAAUUGGGACUGAGACACGGCCCAAACUCCUACGGGAGGCAGCAGUGGGGAAUAUUGGACAAUGGGCGCAAGCCUGAUCCAGCCAUGCCGCGUGAGUGGUGAAGGCCUUCGGGUUGUAAAGCUCUUUUAUCCGGGAAGAUAAUGACUGUACCGGAAGAAUAAGCCCCGGCAAACUUCGUGCCAGCCGCCGCCGUAAAAC
rnacentral:rRNA from 1 species